UACAGAGGGUGCUAGCGUUGUUCGGAAUCAUUGGGCGUAAAGGGCGUGUAGGCGGUUUGCUAAGUCAUGUGUGAAAUCCCUCGGCUCAACCGGGGAACGACGCAUGAAACUGGCAAGCUAGAGUACCAAAGAGGGGGGUGGAAUUCCCGGGUGUAGCGGUGAAAUGCGUAGAUAUCGGGAGGAACACCUGUGGCGAAGGCGGCCCCCUGGUUGG
rnacentral:rRNA from 1 species